AGUCAGCCUUCUUAUACCUGGACUAAUGUAACUACAACUACUGGACAAUCGUGAGUUGCUCACCAUUAAAUUGGCAUUAGAGGAAUGGCACCAUUAGUUAGAGGGGGCAAACCAUUCUUUUACGGUGCUGACAUGUCAUUGGAAUCUGGAUUACCUUCACAAAUCAAAGAGACUAAAUUCCAGAGAAGCAAGACAAACAGGAUAUGAUGUAAUUCCUUCAGCCCUGAUUUGACAAUACAGAGAUGCUCCAAAGUGAAUCCAGCUGAGAGGUUAGCUACGCCUGAAGAAGGCUGAUGCUGGCUACUGACAUCUAAGAAGUUGGGUUCAAGACACCAGUUGCCUCUUUGGGGUUGAGAGCUGAGACUGGAAUGGUCCAAUUGUGGCUUUUUGCGCUUAUUGACUUUCUUGGGACACCUGGUAUGUGGGACUUAAAGAGCCUGUAUAGUAGCUCUGAGGAGCUUUAUAACCAGGAAGACCCGGAUUUGCCGUGCCUUAUGCAGCUAUGCUCACCUGCAGCUGGGUUCACAGACAGGCCUGUGUGUACCUACUGACCCAGUGAAGAGAGGGGCAAGUUGACCUUGAAAGGUAGAGCAGACUGGUAAAAACCUGUUGAAGCCAGUUUUGAGGAGUGAGCUCAUCAUGCGAUGGCCAAAUUGAUGGACGAAGAGAUGCACCUAUUAGAGAAUGAGCUAAUAUCAAAAUUUGAGAAGUAAGGUGGGGGGAUAUCAAACUACCCCAGAUAAAUGGUAUAUAAAGUGUUGUUUGGAACACUGUAUUUGCGCAGUUGGGUGUCUCGAGACCCUGUGCCACCUGAUGCUGAAAUAAAGAAGAAGCCUUUUUCUCCCUUCCACAAGAACUCAGUGGCUUUUAUUAAGGCUUUUAUUCUACUUUCUUUAUUUUUGAUUGAAUACCCUUUUUGUUUUUGUUUAUUUUAUUUUUGUUUAUCUUUCGUAAGUGAUUAAGACAAUAAUUAGAACAAAACCACAGCACAAAAUAGUUUAGAUUUUAAAACCAUCAUAUGUCGGGGUUUGGGCAAGGAAGAAAAUAGCUGUUGGUCCUGACACCACCUCUGCCAAAAGUCAGUUUGUGAAAUUUCUGUCUGCUAGAUCUGUCCCAGUCAACAGUAAGUGCUACUAUUAUGAAAUGGAAGCACCUAGGAGUAAAAACAGCUUAGCCACAAAGCGGUAGACCAGGCAAACUCACAGAGUGGGGCCACAGAGUGCUGAAGCGCACAGUGCCUAUACUCUGUUGAAUCACUCACCAAAGAGUUCCAUAUUUCUUCUGGAAGCAAUAUCAGCAAAAGAACUGCGAGUUAGAAGCUUUACAAAAUGGGUUUCCAUGGCUGAGCAGCUUCACACAAGUCUAAGAUUAAAAUGCGCAGUGCACCGGGGGGAGAGUGGUGUAAAGCACGUCGCCACUGGACUCUGAAGCAGUGAAAACAUAAUCUGUUGAGUGAUGAAUCACACUGCUGUAUCUGGCAGUCUGAUGGACGAGUCUGGGUUUGGCGAGUGCCAGGAGAACACUACAUGUACACUACAUACUUUAGCACAGUUCAAAUGUGUUUUUAAAGUUCAGUUUGGCAGCGCAGACUAGUAUACUUAAAUUAUACCCUAAGAGUGCCAAAAAUAGCACAUGACUAGUAUACCUAGUAUACAUAAAGCAUGACCUACAUAUAUAUCAAGUACACAUUAGCUGUUCCAGUGUAGUACUUACUGCAUAACUUAAGCAUGUUAUUUUGUUAAAACUACUUUAGUAUACUUUUUUUCCCCCAUAAGGGUAUAUUUACAGAUUU